rnacentral:rRNA from 1 species
GAUGAACGCUGGCGGCGUGCCUAAUACAUGCAAGUCGAGCGAACAGACGAGGAGCUUGCUCCUCUGACGUUAGCGGCGGACGGGUGAGUAACACGUGUAUAACCUACCUAUAAGACUGGGAUAACUUCGGGAAACCGGAGCUAAUACCGGAUAAUAUAUUGAACCGCAUGGUUCAAUAGUGAAAGACGGUUUUGCUGUCACUUAUAGAUGGAUCCGCGCCGCAUUAGCUAGUUGGUAAGGUAACGGCUUACCAAGGCAACGAUGCGUAGCCGACCUGAGAGGGUGGUCGGCCACACUGGAACUGGGACACGGUCCAGACUCCUACGGGAGGCAGCAGUAGGGAAUCUUCCGCAAUGGGCGAAAGCCUGACGGAGCAACGCCGCGUGAGUGAUGAAGGUCUUCGGAUCGUAAAACUCUGUUAUUAGGGAAGAACAAAUGUGUAAGUAACUAUGCACGUCUUGACGGUAACUAAUCAGAAAGCCACGGCUAACUACGUG